GGCAAAACAAACUCUUAUUGUGUUUUCUUUUAACCCUGCUUUUGAACCUUGCGAAGGCCGUUUCAAGGUUUGAAGUUGUAUCAUUCAUGGAACGCACAAUUUUAAGUCAGAAUGACAGAAUGAAGUUGUUCGUUGGUGCACAAAUUUUUUUCACAAUAAUCUGCAUUCUGGAUGGUUAUUUAAUCGACUCUUCCUCUCUGGUCUACAGGUUCACUCUUUGACAUUACACAACCCCUGGGAGGUUCGUUUCAGCCUCGUCGUGCACAAAGACAGCAGCGAUGAUCAUCAGGCUCGGCAGACUGACUCCUGGAUACUUCCGUCUCCUGCAGAGGCAGGUAGCAGGUGAGGUUCAGGCCCCAACGCACGACCGCGCCGUCAACCAGAUCGCCAUGAUGCUGGCCAUCAUGGGCCUCAGCCUGUCGUAUUACAGUGCCAAACAAAUGACCGAGAAGGUUCGUCGCGAACCCGCCCCGUGAAGAUGUACGAAUGCGCUCCGGAUUGACGGCGUCCAUAAAGAUGUUCAGAUGUCGAAGAUUCAGACUCUACCUUUCUAUAACCUCUAGGGAUCGCACCUCUCGGGACUUCUGCUUAGGGGUUCUCUUGCUUUAGUUUAGCUCUCAAUGGAUCUGGAAGGGGUUGUGGCCUGAGUUUUAAUAGUUGACUUGAUGCAUGCAUCAGAGAGUCAGUCAGUUCUGCUGUAGAUUCAAAACCUGAGCUUCACAUUGCAUCUGGAGGUCCACUCUGAGCCAUAAUGUGUUUUAAAAAGGAAAGGACCUCUGUGUUUGAGAUGUACCAAGCAACUAUUGAAAGCAGGUCCAAUGCACAAGAGUGAAAUGCUCAGAUUUUCCCCCAAAAGAUGCUAUUGAAGAACAUCAGAGGCUUGGGGACUUAUAGUGGAGGUGCUGCUCUACAAUACUACACUUGGUGUUAGACACUUUAGGAAAUGUACUACACAGGACCUUAUGUUAAAGUGACUUGUUCUUUUCAUUAGAACUUAAGAAAAUAUCUUCUCAUUGGUCUCCAACACUUUAGAUGUUAAUGCUGACUUUGUGUGCAAUUGCAUGAGUUUUAUUGAAACCAAUCUGUAAUGUUCUUUCUAAUGCUUUUUUAUGAUAAUGUGAUUAAGAUGAAUGUACUGUAUGUUAUAUUUUUAAGACACAACGAUCAAAUAAAGCUGUGAAUAUUUUGAACACGAUCAAGUAAUGGAAAGCAAGUCGUGACUCAAGAAGGUUUAGAAGAACGUUAUGAAAUUUGGCCAACUCAUUCCUGCUGAGUCGAGUUUACACGAAACCAUAUGAAAGGUUUUCCUGUCGGCAGAAGCGUGCUGUUGAACAGGAAGUGGGCACAGCCUCAGGCAACAGCUUCCUCUAUCUGCACGCAAUAUUUGUCUACCAGUGUGCUGCAGCUGGCUUUAUGUUUGACCCACUUACCAAAUUCAAUAGACCUCAAUUAAACAUUUGCACACCAAGUAACUUGAGGCGUGUCUGCUGUGUCGCUCCCCUGAUAUGCUAAGCAAUUUAGGCCAGAAAUUUACUCGCGGAUGCUUCAAGCUAUCAAGCAUUUUUUGGUAUGUCUUUGUGCUUUAAAUUGUGUUUGAGUGCAAUUUGUAUUGUGUUGCAUUCUCAGCAUUUCCAAAAGGGUGCUAUGGGGGGCGUUAACAUUUCUUUUUAAAGAGAAAGUUGCUAAAUAAGUUCAAGUAACCCUCAUGUUGCAUUCUGGCCAUUUUAACCUGGAGAAGUUUUUCUUUUUCCUGAAAAUUUGAGGUAAUUUUAUUGCACUGGACUAAAAUUUACUGACUUCCCAAAACAACUCAAAAAAUUAUUUUGGGGGAUUUUUCUUCUUCUGCCAUCUUGUUCUGCUUGUGGUGCUUCCCAGUCAAAAAUAACCGUCCUACAAAAAAUGCAUAUCAAUUUCUUAUGCUAUUUUUAUUGAUUUGCUUUAUUUCAAUUAGCACCGUUUUUUUUUUUUACCGAUUACUCGUAGACCUCAAUGAUCUGAGCUCAUGCACCUCAGUUUUUGAGUGAAAAUUGACAAUUUUACACACGUAAUGAAUUGUUUUCACUCAAACUGAGGUGCAUAAGCUCAGAUCAAUGAGGCCUAUGAUCUUUUUUUGACGGGGUUUUCAGCACAGCACACGGUUUAAUGUGGUGGUUUAAUGACACCGUUAAAAAGAAGAAAAAAUCUUUCACCACAUGAGUGUUGAGUUUCGUUAUUACCACAGUAAUGCAAAAAUUAGCAUGGUGUGCUAAUAAUGUGUUAGCCAAGCAUUUGUGUACUUGCAAAAAGUAUGUUUCUGGCCUUUCAUUCCACUAAUAUCCUGCAUAUUAUCAUUGUGAGCUAUCCUUUUUAUCAGACAGACUUAGCAGCAGUGCAACGUGUUUGUGCACCUGAUAACUGAAGUGAGAUUACUUACAACUUGAUGUUCUGUGAAUCAAAACCUUAUUAUAGUCUUCCUUAAACUCAGAAUUGUUUCAGAAACUCAAAUCUUGAGUCUGUUGAGCGUGUGAAGGCCGUGAGGAAGUUGGAAAUGUCAUGCAGUUUGCUUGCUUGCGUGCUGGCUACUGCUGAUUAGUUCUGGAAGAUGCUGUUGGUUGCCUUUUUGAAAGUCAAAGACUGAGCGUUGGGUCCUGAAGCGUGCAAUUGUUUUAUGCUAAAAUACUUUUGUUUUAUUUCAGCUAAAAUAGUUUAUUGCUCUGUUUGAACAUGCAGACCGGUCUGACACUACAACUUUGACUCUGUUUACAUUUUACAUUUCUGUUUGGUGGAGCAGAGUUUAUACACUUCAACUUGCCUGCUUUAUUUUGGUUAAAACCCAAUGGUGAAAUGCAUUUUAGCUGCCACCAAACAAGUCUGUAUUGUCUUUGUUUCCUUCAACCUCCAUGAUUUGCCCAUUGUUAAGCAGUUAAUGUGGCAUUGCAGUCUGUAUGUGUUCAUAAGCGUUCGCAUGGAUGCUCGGGGCAGAUGUGAUGUCCUGUGACAGGCCGAGGCUACAUUGCGUGACACGUGUUAUUCCUCCUAUCACCUUUAGCUCCUCCCUUUCCCGCUCUGCUGUCUGAUCACUGGGCAAAUUUGCUCAAAAAAUACUGCUGGGACCGUUUUAACAUGCUAGUUUAGGACAUGAACCGCAACACGCUCGUCCCAUUGGCUGUCCGGUGAUGCAUCAUGGUGUUGUUGCAGUUGCAAGCUGCAGAAACAAAGCGAGGGGAUCACGUUGGCGAAAGAGUAUUGCACAUGGUUGCUUUAUAAAAACAGAGAAGGGAUUAAUAAAGAAAUAGACCUUAAUAUGUGGUCUUUUCUGUUUGGUUUGAUGGUGGUUCAUGGAUGUAAAUGUGGAAGGAACACUUUCGAAUAAUGUGUGACUGAUAUUGUAGCAUAUAUGAAAGUUUUGUAUUAACGAAUGAGACUUUAAAAUAUGAAGGACUGAAAGGUUUUGUUGCUCAUGUAACGUUUCAUUAAAAUGAUUUCAAUCAUAUGUCUCAUUUCUAUUGUUGUU
rnacentral:lncRNA from 1 species